rnacentral:rRNA from 1 species
UACAGAGGUCUCAAGCGUUGUUCGGAUUCAUUGGGCGUAAAGGGUGCGUAGGUGGCGCGGUAAGUCGGGUGUGAAAUUUCGGAGCUUAACUCCGAAACUGCAUUCGAUACUGCCGUGCUUGAGGACUGGAGAGGAGACUGGAAUUUACGGUGUAGCAGUGAAAUGCGUAGAUAUCGUAAGGAAGACCAGUGGCGAAGGCGGGUCUCUGGACAGUUCCUAACGCUGAGGCACGAAGGCCAGGGGAGCAAACGGG